rnacentral:sRNA from 1 species
ACGAUGACAUGAUCAAAAGGUCUAUAGAUCCUGAUAUUUUCACUUACAAUUCAUUGAUCAACGGGUUCUGUAUGCAUGAUCGUCUAGACAAGGCCAAGCAGAUGUUUGAGUUCAUGGUUAGCAAGGACUGUUUCCCAGAUUUAGA